rnacentral:lncRNA from 1 species
CUUGACACCACUUCCAGCAAAGCUGAGAUACUACAUUCACCAAAAAGUUAACAGCUUACACAGAAUUUUCCGUGACAUCUGAUCUUGAGCCAUGAUAACUUCCUGGCUUGAACUGUAUUUGCCUGGUCUGAGCCAAAGCAGCAGGUGUGCGGGCCCUGAAGUCCUUCCAAGAGUAAUUAAGCAUGUCCUCUCGGGGUGCAGCUGUGGUGGGGCAACCCAGUGCUGUCCCCUGGCACUCCUCAUCACUAGUCAGCUCUGAGCUAGAACUCCCACACUUCUGCCAGGAGAAGUUUCAGCACUCCUGGAUUUGCUUCCAGAAACACCAGGCAGCAAGUACCAAAAAUUGGGACUCCUGGUGCGCAGCCCUGAUGCUAACAAAAAUUUUCAGUUCUGACAUUUCAGUGACACUUUAUGCAACUGUCAGUGGGCCUUAUUCAACAUAACAGAUACCCACGCAAGCUUAUGUCUCUCAGAGAUAACACUCAACUGUUCCAAACUUCUUUUCACAUACAUCAGUAAAAGCAUCCUUUUCUGGCACCUUUUUGCCAUGCAUUUUACUGAAAGGGGUUGAUUAAGUGUUAAACGCUGAUUAGCCUGUUUUGCAAUUAUAAAGAAUUGCACUUGACAAGACAUGACAGUAUCUCAAGCUAAUCUCAGGCUUACACAAUAUUUGUGAAGCUGAUUUUUUUAUAUAUAUAUAAAACUCAUUAAAAUUAACAACUUUGUUAAAAACAGAAGGAGCAGAAGCUGAAAUCCAGGCUCACAUCAGUCACUGCUUAAUGACUUAACACAUCUCACCUGGGUGGACCAGUGCCCAACAUCCCUCAGUCUGCUCAGGGAUGCUCCUUUACUGCUCAUACCACAGGACCAUCGGUCAUGAUGUUAUGACUCAUAUCUGUGACAGAGAUGUAGGCCAGGAUGAUGAAGGCUGAUGUAGAACUGGCAACAACUGGGAAUGCCUAAUGCCUGCAUUAGAAGUAGGGGGGAAAAAUCUGUAACAUCCAUGUGAUAGUGAAUUACGUUCAUAGAGGA